UUUCCGUAGGUGAACCUGCGGAAGGAUCAUUCAUAAUAAAGUGUUUUAUGGCACUUUUUAAAAAUCCAUAUCCACCUUGUGUGCAAUGUUAGAUCUCGUCAAUCUUGGCGAGAUUUUUAUACAUCAACUCAUUCUUUAACUAAUUUGUCUGAAAAAUAUUAUGAGUACUUAAUUCAAAAUACAACUCUCAACAACGGAUCUCUUGGCUCUC
rnacentral:misc_RNA from 1 species